AGAGUUUGAUCAUGGCUCAGAACGAACGCUGGCGGCAGGCCUAACACAUGCAAGUCGAACGCCGUAGCAAUACGGAGUGGCAGACGGGUGAGUAACACGUGGGAACGUACCUUUCGGUUCGGAAUAACUCAGGGAAACUUGAGCUAAUACCGGAUACGUGCGAGAGCAGAAAGAUUUAUCGCCGAAAGAUCGGCCCGCGUCCGAUUAGCUUGUUGGUGAGGUAAUGGCUCACCAAGGCGACGAUCGGUAGCUGGUCUGAGAGGAUGAUCAGCCACACUGGGACUGAGACACGGCCCAGACUCCUACGGGAGGCAGCAGUGGGGAAUAUUGGACAAUGGGCGAAAGCCUGAUCCAGCCAUGCCGCGUGAGUGAUGAAGGCCUUAGGGUUGUAAAGCUCUUUUGUCCGGGAAGAUAAUGACGGUACCGGAAGAAUAAGCCCCGGCUAACUUCGUG
rnacentral:rRNA from 1 species